rnacentral:rRNA from 1 species
GUGCCAGCCGCCGCGGUAAUACGUAGGGUGCGAGCGUUGUCCGGAAUUAUUGGGCGUAAAGGGCUCGUAGGCGGUUUGUCGCGUCGGAAGUGAAAACACGGGGCUUAACUCUGUGCUUGCUUUCGAUACGGGCAGACUAGAGGGAUGCAGGGGAGAACGGAAUUCCUGGUGUAGCGGUGAAAUGCGCAGAUAUCAGGAGGAACACCGGUGGCGAAGGCGGUUCUCUGGGCAUUCCCUGACGCUGAGGAGCGAAAGUGUGGGGAGCGAACAGGAUUAGAUACCCCCGUAGUCC